AAAUAAUUAAUCUUCCCCAAAUACAACAAACCCUAAUACCCUAAUCCAACUGAGCAUUGAGCAUUAAACGGCGUCGCAGCAGGCAUCGUCUGUCCAAACAGAUUAUUAUUCACCUGAGUCUUGCCGUAAACGGAUUCGAAAAUCCAAACGUACUAGAACUCUGCUGCUGAAACGGUGUCGUUUACGGCUGUUGUUGUUGAGAGAACUGAGAGGAAAACAGUGAGGUACCGACGCCGGUGGCGAACGACGACGUUGACGGUGUGCCAAAUGCAGGGGUGGAGGACAGAGUGCCGAACAGGGAGGAGGAUGCCGGAGCUCCGAACAUUAUGGCGGAGCACGGCAGAGAGUAUUUAUGAUGUUUGUUUUGAUGUUUGAAGAUGGAGAUGGAGUGUAUUUAUGAUGUUUGUUAGUUCAGAUAUUUUUUUUACACUUUUUGAUUUAGAAUUACAGCUUCUUGUUCGAUCUGUUUAUGCGUUUAUGCUAUUCUAUGUUCAUUUUAAUUGAUAAACAUGAUAGUGAAGAAGGAUGUCAUGAAUUUAAUUUUAGUUUCAGUUUCUCGUUUAUU
rnacentral:lncRNA from 1 species